UACGAAGGGGGCUAGCGUUGCUCGGAAUUACUGGGCGUAAAGCGCACGUAGGCGGAUUUGUAAGUCAGGGGUGAAAUCCCAGAGCUCAACUCUGGAACUGCCUUUGAUACUGUCGAUCUGGAGUAUGGAAGAGGUGAGUGGAACUGCGAGUGUAGAGGUGAAAUUCGUAGAUAUUCGCAAGAACACCAGUGGCGAAGGCGGCUCACUGGCCCGGUACUGACGCUGAGGUGCGAAAGCGUGGGGAGCAAACAGG
rnacentral:rRNA from 1 species